AGUCUGCAAAUGUGAACCGAUUGGGACUGGCUGAGGGAAGAAGAAAUAUUUUUCUAGAAGGAACUCUCUGA